UACGGAGGAUGCGAGCGUUAUCCGGAUUUAUUGGGUUUAAAGGGUGCGUAGGCGGAACAAUAAGUCAGUGGUGAAAGACUGCAGCUUAACUGCAGACUUGCCGUUGAUACUGUUGAUCUUGAGUAUGGUCAAGGCAGGCGGAAUGUGUAAUGUAGCGGUGAAAUGCUUAGAUAUUACACAGAACACCGAUUGCGAAGGCAGCUUGCUGGGCCAUUACUGACGCUGAUGCACGAAAGCGUGGGGAUCGAACAGG
rnacentral:rRNA from 1 species